rnacentral:lncRNA from 1 species
UGUAGAUGUAGGAAAAGGAGUACAAAUUGAUAUAUUGCAAAACAUGAGUACAGAUUACAUACACAUUAUUGAAAGAAAUAUUAUGAGGAUCCUCCGUCAAACUACAUUUCAGAAUCCCAAUAAUAGUUGUAAUAUCUAUUGAAAAUAUAUAGAGCUUAAAUCCUAUCAGGUGCUAUGUUAACCAGAAGUAAAAGGAACAUUUUUCUAGCUAAGGACAUCUCAUUAAAAUUCUGAAAAAGAGGCAAUGCACGGAAGAUGAAUUGCAAAGUCCCCGAAAGAGUCUAUUCUUGACAUUAAAGGUUCCCUGGCACACAACCAAAACCAGAGUUAUAAUUUUCUUGAGAGACCAAUCUAUCAUUACUAGUCUUUUCGUGCAUCGAGUCUUGUGAGGUUAGAACCGACAUAUAUUCCAUAAUUAGCACAUUCACUAUAAUUUCCUUUAUCAACUUUGGCAUUGAAACUUGUGGCAAGAUCAUGCAGGAGGGAGCAUGGAGAAACGAGCUUUUUCAAUAGAAAUUUUUCAUCUAAGCUUGUCGCACAUUCACUCAGUAAAUCUUGUUUAAUGUUUUCCAUUACAUCCAAGAAUUCUGACAUUGUGUCCGAAGGUACACAUCCAGAUGUUACUUGUUCUGAAAUACAGUUCCCAAUGUGGUUCACAAGAUCACUCUUUUACGUAGAUGGAUUUAGACCUGGCACCUUCAGUUGUUCCUGGCUUUUUUUCUCCGAUUAACCAUGCCCUUUAGUGGUUUAAUUUCAUUCAGUUGCACAUGUAUCCAUUACUGGUAACAUUAGACAAUGUGAUUAGUGAAAUUUUGGCUGAAAAUUAUGGAUUGAAAAAAAAUAGUUUUGUGAGAUUAACAUUCAGAAAUGCAUCUUCUAUGGAAACAAGAUGAUAAAUAACUUGGUACUCGCAAUGUCAGCUUUGAUUUUUGUUAUGACUGUAGUUAAUACUUGAAAAAUCAGCUUCACUAAAAAUGUAUUCACAAUAGAGGAGAGUAGUAUUAUACCUUAGAUGGAGAACAUGGCUUCUUAGACACAUGUUCAACAGUUCCACCAAUAGAGUUCUGUAGAGUCGAAAAGCAAAAUAUAAAAGAUACUACAAAGGGUAUAGUCUAAGAUGCACGCCGGUCUUUACUUCCUUUCUUUAAUGAGAACAAGAAAAGGGAAGAACCAGAAUAAAUUGAUAAAGAUUUUAAGACACGAAAAGCAUAAAACGAAGGUACAAAUUGAGAAGAAAAAUGAUCCUAAAACAAAAAAAUUAGCAAUAGUAUAAUUAAUUAUAACCAAACACCUUAUUCAUAGUACAUAAUAUGAGUGAUUGCAAGAAUAAACUUACAUGUGGUCAUUUUUAAUCAUGUAUCCAAGCGUCAUAAACAUAAAAAACUUGCGUUAAAUCUACGAGUAAUGCUAUUUAAUCCGACUGAGGUUGCAUCAUGUGUUCUUUUUUAAUCAUGUUUCCAAGCAUCAUAAACAUAAAAACUUGCAUUAAAUCCAACCCCAGUUUAGAUGGCAUUAAUGUGGCAUUAAAUGAUAAGUGGAAUUAAAUGACUUGCCUUUUACUUAGCCUAUUAUAUAUUGCUACCUAAACUAAAAUUGCAACUCCAGUGAGGUUACAUAGCAUUAUUCUUAAUCUACUGCCAUUUCUCACUCUUUGGAUAUGUAUACACUAUACGUACACCACUUCCAUCUUAUACACACAUCAAAUUAGUGGGUCUCUUUGCCAUCUGUAUCAGCUAUCAAUUAACAAAUUUACACCGACUAAAUCUAGGAGUGUACGAAAUAUGAGGGAGGCUUAAAUUUAAAAAAGGUGAUAACCAAUGACAGUUUUCAGAAUGUAUACAAUACGCACGUAGAGAGAAAAUCUCAUUCUAAUGUGCUACGCCAUGUUAAAAUAUUUGCGAGUCCCUACAAUGAAGAGAAAAUUAAAAGCGAAGACAUUAAAAUAACAUUUCUUAACUUCAACGAGUAUAAAUUAACUGAAAUUAUCAUUGGGUUUGUGCUUCACCACCCCAUUAUCUUUGUCAUUGUUAUUUUUAGUAUAACUCAACUAGCAUUUAGCCUUUGAUAACUUCAAUAAUUUGCAGUCAUGUGUUACCAACCCAGGGGGAGUAGUUAAUAUUUAAAGUGCAGAUAAGGAAGAAAAUAAAGUAUUUAGUUUUUUCCCGGAUAAAUUAAAUUCGAAAGGAAAGCUACGGUUUACCACAACUAAAAAAUAGGUAUUAAUAUGUUCAGGCGUAGUAAAAUGUUAAUAUACUCUAGUUUCAAGAAAGGAGCAAAAAGAAAAGAAAAAGAGGACAGAUGCAAAAUUGUUUGGAUCUAUGAACACACAGGGCAAGAGCGUAAGCAAAUUAAUAAAUGAAAAUGAUAUCUAAUUUGUUUUAAAAUAUUAUGGCUGAAGAAUUUGAAAACGGGAAUUGAGAAGAUCAAGUUAAUAUAUAGUCGUACCUUUUUUCCUAUACCUUCCAUACCAACUCUUGCAGUACAAUUUUUUUGAAAUUUCAAUACGGGGCACCUUAUCUUCUGUAUCGAAGCAAAAGUUCCCAUUUGUAGUUGGCCUCUUCAUGUUGAAGAAUUCUCCAGCCAUUUUCUUUUAUAGAUUCCAUUAUCUAGAAAUUGGAGCAGCAGCCACAUUCAACCACCAGGGUG